GCCCCAGGUCACUGCUCUGGGCAGUGCAGCAGCUGCCUGAGAGAACCUGGCUGGGGACGUGGCACCGGGCCGCCCCAACCAUGGCCUGGCUGCUGGGCACAGGGGCCGAGUGAGCUGGAAAUGUGCCAGGGGGAGAGGUGACUCCAGCUUGCUCGACUCCUGUCCCUGGUAGCCUGGUCUUGGUGGGGUAGCCCUGCCACCUCCCCAACCAGGCUGUCUCAGGCUGCCGCUGCGCCGCACAGAGCAGCAACCCCGAGCGGCCGACAUGAGAAGUGGCUGGUCCUGCCCCUUCCACUCCCUGCCCGGGCCCAGCUGCCAGGAAUGGGACCGAUCGUGCUGGGGUCAGUAUCAGCAGUAGAAGGACAGAGACUCUCUUCCUCCUUCCAACCCCCGGCAUGCCAAGCAGAAAUCUGGGGGGUGCUUCACCCUGCACACACACACCCUGUGCGUCGCCUCUGGCGAGUGGGUUCUUGAGCGUUUGCUGGCUGGUUUGUUGUGUUCAGUUUGCAGAGGCUGGUACGGGCAGUGCGCUGAGAGAUGCAGAGCCUUUGAUCAGAUCAGAUCAGGGCGGGGCUUCCCUGAUUAGGAGGCCUAUAAAUGCAAGCAAUGGAGUGGCAAAGAAGUCAGCAAACAACUGGAGAUAGGGGAGUUAGAGUGCACGAUUGUAAGGAGAGUUUGCGGGAGGGGCGGUGGCGUUCUGUGGGGCCCAUGCUUUCCAGGCUGUGAGAGCUGACAGAUUUCUCCACCAAAUAGUCACCAAACCAAGAAGAGGUGAUGCCAUUUUAGAUUGAGUGUUGGUGAGUAGGGAGGACAUCCAGAGAAGAACUGGUUGUAGGGGACAACCUUGGUUUGCGUGAUCAUGAGCUAAUUCAGUUUCAACUAAAUGGAUGGAUAAACAAAACUAGGGCUACAACUGGGGCCUUGAUUUCAAAAGGGCAAACUUUAAAAUAUUAAGGCAAUUAACUAGGGGAAUGGACUGGGCUGAAGAACUCAAGGAUCUGAAACUGG